UACGUAGGAGGCGAGCGUUGUCCGGAGUUACUGGGCGUAAAGGGUGCGCAGGCUGGCGGUUCGCGUGGAUAGAUGAAAUCUCCUGGCUUACCUGGGAGGAUGGUAUCCAGACGGGAUCGCUUGAGGGUCGGAGAGGGGCGUGGAAUUCCGGGUGGAGCGGUGAAAUGCGUAGAGAUCCGGAGGAACACCGACGGCGUAGGCAGCGCCCUGGACGACACCUGACGCUGAGGCACGAAAGCUGGGGAGCG
rnacentral:rRNA from 1 species